AUUGAACGCUGGCGGCAGGCCUAACACAUGCAAGUCGAGCGGAUGAAGGGUGCUUGCUCCUGGUUUCAGAGGCGGACGGGUGAGUAAUGCCUAUGAAUCUGCCUGGUAGUGGGGGAUAACGUCCGGAAACGGGCGCUAAUACCGCAUACGUCCUGCGGGAGAAAGAGGGGGAUCUUCGGAACUCACGCUAUCAGAUGAGCUUAGGUCGGAUUAGCUAGUUGGUGGGGUAAAGACCUACCAAGGCGAGGAUCCGUAACUGGUCUGAGUGGAUGGUCAGUCGCACUGGAACGUGACCACGGUCCAUGGUCCUAAGGGAGGGAGCAGUGGGGAAUGUUGGACAGUGGGCGAAAGCCUGACCCAACCAUGCCGCGUGUGUUAAGGAGGUCUUCGGAUUGGAAAGCACGUUAAGUUGGGAGAAAGGGCAGUAAGUUGAGACCUUGCUGUUUUGACGGUACCAACAGAAGAAGCACCGGCUAACUACGUG
rnacentral:rRNA from 1 species